GGACCCAGUCAGAAACAUGGACUAAAUUUGCUUACAAAUGCCCAUUCACAGCCGCACAAAGACAGACAGAUCCAUCGUCUUCCUCGCCAUGCAUACCAUCACCACUGCCGAGCUCCUGCUCAUAUGCAUCCUAGCUGCCGCCAAUUUGCUAUGGUCAGUCGAUGGUUCUGCCAGUUCAAGCUGCAUACCGCGGGAGCAGGAUGCCCUGCUGUCCUUCAAGCGCGGCAUCAACAGCGACCCCAUGGGUGUCGUUGACUCUUGGCACAAGGAAGACUGCUGUCAGUGGAGCGGCGUCAAGUGCAGCAACCGGACUGGCCAUGUUCUUAGGCUUCAUCUUCGUCGUCUGGAUGUGUACACACUCAAUGGGUACUACCAAGACGACACAGCUUUGGUUGGCCAGAUAAGUAAUUCUUUACUCUCCAUGGAUCGUCUAGUGCACCUUGAUCUUAGCAUGAAUUGCCUCGAGGGCCCAAGCGGCCACUGUUACAGCGCUGCUAGAAGGAGAGCGCGAGAGGGCCGGUCGGGGGCCUUUUUGCCCACGGCCGGGCAGGAGGGAAGGGAUUUCUUUCUUAAUUCUUGCUUGAUUAAAUUGAUACAUCUCAUCUCUUUAUAUAUAAGCGUUGUUUGGAUAGCGGAGAUUAGCAAUAGGAUUAUAGAAAAUGGGUUUUUAGCCGAUUUCUAGAAAAACCCAUUUUACAUCAAUUUUUGUGAAUAACCAGUUUAUAAAAAACUACGUUUGGUAAGGAAAUUUGGAAAACUGGUCGGCCCAGUUCCUUGUUUGGAUACCCACCACCACUAGUACUCCUACUCCUAUUCUCCUCCCGUGAGCGACUCUCACUUUCCCUAAAUCGGACGCCAUGGCGUUAUCCAUCCAAGCUCGUUGAGCUGCUGCUUCCCUCCGAUUCCUCCUCCGCUCGCUGACACCGCUGCUCCCUUGUCUCGCCCGUGGAAGAAUCCGCGCGCGGACGCCGGCUACUGUGCGCCUCCGCCGCCCUGGACGCCGGUUGCUGCUGGACUCCCAGAUCGCCAGGUACAUGCCGCCGCGCGCGGACGCCUCCUACUGGGCGCCUCCGCCUCCCUGGAUGUUGGUUGCUGCUCGCCUCCCCUCCCCUCCCCUGGACGGCUAGGUCCCCGGGCGUACUGCGUUUCGUCGGCCGUCGACCCGACACAAGCUCUACCCAGCGAGCAGUCGUGCUUCAGGUCAACGCACAGGCCUGCCUCCCCUCAACGCCGGCCGUGCAGGCUACACCCACAUCAGCCCGUUUUGCCACAGUAUUAGCGGCACCGGGGGAAGCUGUAGCUCCUGACCAACAUCACCAUCAGUAACAGCUGAUGGGAAUGACAAGCUCGCGGAUGGGGAUUCAGAGGAGCAGGUAUGUUUGAUUACUAUUUUCAAGUUUUUUACUAGUAAAUUAACAUGGUCUGCAUCAUGCACUUACAAGAGCAGCUACAGUUAUCUCCUUUUUUGGUUUCUUAGCAUGUUUUCAUGGUCUACAUCAUGCACUUGUGGAGAGUAUACUACCGUACAUCAUAAUAUAUCUACUUGGUCCAUUGAAGAAUCUGGUACGUAGGUAGGAUGGAAACACUUGAAUGUCACAUAAAAAUGCACCAAUUUGAAGUAGUUCAUUGGUUGCUUCACUUGCUGAAAAGAAUGGUAGACAAUUACAUUUCAUCGUGUAGCUGCAGAUAGAGAGAGGGAGAUGGAGAGGGUGAGAGAGGGAUAGAGCUCAUAAGCCUAUAAAAGAAUGGGAAGUUCAUGUCCGUAUAAAGGAUUAAAAGUUUCAACAAUUAUUAUGCAUAUAUAUAUAUGCAAUUGAAGAUGGAAUACAAACAUUGCAAUAUUUAAUCAUCUUGUUGUUGAGCACUACGUUGUUGAUGUUUAGUCCACAACUCUCGGGCGAUGGCACCACGAACUCUCACCAGCAACUCUAUCAUCUUCUCUUGCUUGCCCAUGAACUUGUUGAUCACCAUGGUCAGUAUUUUGUUCUGUUUCCCCAUGCUCAUAAAGCUCGAAUAACUCAUCAGGAUGAUUAACCUUCCUUAUAAAGUUGUGUAUAAUGCAACAAGCCAUAACAAUUUUCACUUGAGUUCUGUACGGAUAAGGAAUCCCUCCUUUCCUACUUAGAAUUGGAAACCAAGCUUUUAGAACACCAAAAGUUCGUUCAACAACAUUCCGCAACUGUGCAUGUAGAUGGUUGAACAAGUCCUCCAGUAUAUCGCCGAUUACUUCCACGAAAAGAAGCAAUAUGAUAGCGAUCUCCGCGAUACGGGGCAAUAAAUCUUGGAGUAUUUGCGUAGCCAGAAUCAACAAGGUAAAAUUUACCUGCACAUUAAUUUCAUAUCACAGUCAGCAUCUUUAUAUAUAUUGUAGAUACACAAAUAAUUGUACUUUACAUUCAGGAACAACUAAACCCCCACUAGUAACAGCCCAUCUUAGAAUAGCUUGAUCAGAUGCAGAACCCGCCCAUCCAGCAGCGACAUAAGAGAAUGUCAUGUCAAAUGACACUACUGCCAUUACAUUUUGAGACGGAUAACCAUGUCUGAUUCUAUAAGGAGUUUGCUUAUCAAUCCUGACUUUUGCUUCAAUAUGUGUCCCGUCAAUUGCUCCUAGGCAAUUCUGUUAGGAUUUUUUUGUUAGUCAAAAAAUAAAGUUUAGAUGGUGUGGACAUUAUAUUUAUGAAAAUCAUAUAUAAAGGAGUAUCUGCUUCGAAUAGCAAACAUACCUUGGAAUAUGGGUAGAACCUUGCGUCACCCAAUAUUUUUGAUGGGACCUGAUUGUUUGGAUCUGUUAUGCAAACAUCAUGCAAACCAUUUAUGGCGUCUAAAACUUUGUUGAAGUGUCGGCUGAUUGGUUCGCCAGAAUGUUGAUAUCUAUCUUGGAUGACACGGUUUCUAACAUUGUGACCAAUUGUAUGUAGAAACAUGAGUAGUUGUUCGUCCACUGUCAUUCGAUUUGUGUCCUUAAGUAACUUCCUCUCGCACAAAGCAUCCCGUAGCAAGUAGAAUAUGUGCUUCUCAAGACGAAAUUGUUCAUAAAAUCUAACUGGAUGUCCCUCUAAAAACUCUAUUGUUUUCUGAGCACCAGUUAAUAUAGAAGUGUUACGGGCUGUUUUGAAUAACCUUGUGAACAACACAUCACGAAACAAGGACACUGUAGAAAUGUUAUUAAUAAGCACUUGCUCGGAAUCAGAAAGUUCAUCAUCUGGCACAUCCGAAAUGUUCAUAGAUCCCUGCAUGAUUUGCACAGUUGACCAUAUCAUCUCAGGAUAAUUGUUUUAUAAUGUAACAGUGCUGAACCCGACAAUGAACAAUACCGAACUGAAAAUAAAAUUUAUUACUUCACACAAACUAAAAAAACAUAAGUGAAAUUGUCUUUCGAAUCUUGUAAAGUGCGACAACGGCUGAAAUAAAAUACUAUGCUCGAAGGUGUAUUACAAAAAUUCUAAGGAUCAAGAAUCCAGAGCUUCCGCGUCUCUUCAUCCAUCUCAAUGAAAAUGGCCCGUUUAUCACCAUCUGUAAAUGCCUUUACCGCUUUUAGUUUCUCUUUGGGAUCUAGAUUACUCAUACUAUUUAAUAUUGCCAUACAAGAUUUAACCGAGUAAGCUUCAUUUUGUUGUGCUACUGUUUUCUUUGCUUUAGCAAUGCUAAGUGAUGCAUCUGCAAGGCGAUCAAUUGCUAUUAUGGCAUCAUCGGCUGUCCGUUUUUGUCCUCUUGCAGUUUCCUUGGAUCCACUUCCAGGGGACUUCUUUUUUUCUGGCUCAAUGGUAGGUGACUUCUUGGUGAAUACACCAGGGGAAGCAUUGAUUUCAUCAGAAUCGAUGUCAUGUACUUCAACUUCCAUACUGAGAUCAAUUUGUGAAGAUUUGGUUGUACAUGUACCAUCUUUUCCUUUGCUAGAUACAGCACCAGCUCCAGAUGCUGUUGAACUAGCACAUAUGGCUUGAAGAUCUAUCCAACUAGGCCACACCUUAUCUCAAUAUUCUUGGAUAGCCUUAUCCUUCUGCAAGUUGUUUAAUGUUUUUGUUAAUAAUAGGAUUAUGCAACUUUAUAUGAAUUCUACUGGAACAAACUUACCUUAAUUAGUUCUUCCCAAAUAUCUUCUGAAGCUUUUAUCAUUUUGUCAUCGUCAUCCCAACCAAAUCCUGUGAGUUUUAGAAGUCUGUCCAUGGUGGUGUAGCAACUCCUGUAGUACUUAUGACGAUUUUUCAAUUGUUCUAAUUCAAGUUUUUCUAUCCUUGAAUCAUUGAAUAGUUCUAAGAUAUCACGCCAUGCUUUCUUUGUGUAACCCGUUCCUUCUUUUCCUCCAUGUAGACUUUGAUCUUUGAAUAUAUUGAGCAGUAUUUUGUCCUCUGAAGAUUUCCAUACAUGGCGCUUAGCUUUAUCUGUGUUUUCCUUCUUAAAUUUUUUUCCUUCUCAUCAUCCAUAUUUUUCUACAGAGGGGAUACAAGAAGCAAUAAUGCAAGAUGAGUCGUUUCGUUCAAAAGGAUAAAUCUACGAAGUGGAAGAAGAUGAGCAUGCCACUAAUCUUUAGUUCAUCAUAUGACUGGACACUUCAAUUUAUGUCGCAUGUUUGUCGCACAGGAUGUUCACAUCCCUUAUCAGUUAUUUUCCUAGCUUGCUACCAACAUCUUAAACAUGAAGGAUGGUGAAGCCAUGGAACCUGAUGAAAGAUGGGAAGAUUGAUUGAAGACUGGGAAGCCGAAGCACCGAAAGCCUGAUGGAGAUGUGGAGUCUUAUUGAAGAGGACCAACUUCAGAUCCAAGGUCAAUGUCUCCCAUCCAGUGCCUGUCGUGGGGAUCACAGCCAGCCCUUUGCGAUCUGGGUGUAUGACAUACGAGAAACAAAAUCGUUUUAUAGAGGCAAUGAAAAAGGCGCGGGCUGAGCCGGAAAAGGCAGAGUUGGCGCCAGCUGAGGUUGUUGAGGAAUAAGCGGGGGCGGAGAAAGGCAGUUGCAUCUGUAUAUGCUAAUCGUGUUUGUGGAAAAACGAGUAAUACUAGUUUUCCCACAAACCUGGAAUUUUGGGUUUUUGAGAAACGAGUUUCCUAUAUACGUGGGGUUGUUAGACGAGCCAAACAAGAUUUUUCACGGUUAGGCAGUUUCCUUGGUUUAUGUAGAUCCCGUUCUCUAUA